CGGUGCAGCAACCUCGGACAGGCUCCGGCGACCAUGGAAUUCUUACUGCAGCCGAUAAACAGAACGCUCCUGGAAGAGGUGAAUGAUAACAACGGGGCAAUGGAGCCCGUGCGGUUCCCACUUCCCAGUAUCCGCGGUGGCUGAGGUUGAGGAUCCAGCACCGGCCGCUUCAAGUGCUGACGGGCAGAUCUGCCGGGCGGAGGCAGCAGGCGCGGACAUGGCUCAGUGCUCCGAGCACUCAAUAGAGCAAAUUGACCCAUAAACACCAGGGUGGACGCAAAGAGUGCGUGUAGGUG